GGAGAAAAUAUUGAAUUUGCUUCUAAGUCGGAACUAUAUAUGCGGGCGCGUAGCGAGAGAGAGAGAGAGAGAGAGAGAGGAGGGAGAGGGGUUGGAGGUUGGUGAAUUUCAACAAUGAUAGAAUGGCUAAAACAACUACGAAAAUCAUUUGGGUUUUCAUUCCUCUGGCUUAUCUGCUUGAUUUACUUCACCCAGGGUUUCAGAACUUUUGUAUGGACAGCAGUUUCCUACCAGCUAAAAGACAGGCUUAAGUUGUCACCCUCAGCCUCUCAAUUUGUGUAUUCAAUAGCAAUCUUCCCAUGGAGCAUAAAACCAUUAUAUGGAAUUUUGUCCGACUGUAUUCCAAUUGGAGGAAGAAAAAGGAUUCCAUACUUGGUGGUUGCAUCCAUAUUCUCUCUUUUUCCAUGGCUCGUUUUAGGCCUAAAUGCACCCCUAAUGGAUUCCAAAGUGCACCUCAUGAUCUCCUUAACAGUGCAGAACCUUGGCUCAGCCAUGGCAGAUGUUGUGGUUGAUGCGAUGAUUGCAGAGGCAGUAAGAUUUGAAAGGGCUGCAUUUACUGGAGACCUCCAGUCACUAUCUUGGUUGGCAAUGGCUAUUGGAGGAAUAUGUGGGAGUUUGUUGGGAGGAUAUGCAUUAACUAACAUAGAAAUAGGUCAAAUAUUUCUUUUAUUCUCUUUACUUCCAUCCAUACAGCUAUUAUCAUGUGGUUUGGUCAAGGAGAAUCCUUUAGGCAGUAAAUUUUUGCCCGAGCUUUCUAAUUCAGGAAGCUCCCAGAUAGUGAAUGGAGACAAUAAUGUUCUGGAUGAAGAUUCUUCCAAUUCUGAAAGGUCCAGAAUUAGUACUUCGAGGAGAAAGAAGAGACGAACAAACAAAAAGAAGAGAGUGGUCAUUAAAAGUAAAUCCCAGAUCUCAGAAAAAGAUGGAUCAUUGGCGUUACAGUGGUUCCACACUCUGAAAAUGGCCGCUUGUAGUUUGUACUCUGCUUUUAGACAGCCAAUCAUUUUGAGACCAAUGGCGUGGUUUUUCCUAGCACAUGUUUCUGUUCCAAACCUUUCAACUGUCAUGUUCUAUUACCAGACAGAGUUCUUGAACUUGGAAGCAUCAUUUCUGGGGACUGUCCGUGUUGUUGGGUGGUUAGGCCUCAUGCUUGGAACAUUCACUUAUAAUCAUUACUUGAAGAAGAUGAGACUAAGAAGAAUUCUGAUGUUGGCUCAUGUUGGUUAUUCUUUCAUGAGUCUUCUAAAUAUUGCUUUAGUGGCUCGAACAAAUGUUGUAUUUGGCAUAUCGGAUAAGAUCAUGGUGCUAUGUGGUUCUGCUUUUCAUGAUGCCAUCCAUCAAUUCAAGUUUAUGCCAUUCCUCAUAUUAUCUGGACGGCUAUGCCCGCCUGGUAUUGAAGGGACUUUAUUUGCCCUGUUCAUGUCAAUAAACAAUCUUGGGGCCACCAUCGGAUCAUUUAUGGGUGCUGGGUUGGCUUCAGUUCUAAACAUCUCUUCGGGUUCUUUUGACAACCUUCUUUUGGGCAUGGUGAUUCAAGUCCUCUGCACUUUCAUCCCAAUUGCUUUCCUAUUUUUGAUACCAAAGGAGGCUACAGGGAUAUCGACAUAAUUUAGUUAGCAAAUGAUAAAGUGAAACAGGAAUCACCAAGAAACUGAAGAUGAAACAGCAGGAAUGCAGUUCUGGCAUGACAAAGCCCCUGUUAUGGCUUUCAUCCCAGGCUUUGGGUCAUAGGGAUAUAUUGAGUGCAUUUACAGAAGAGAAUGUAUGUGGCACCAAGCAUCCCAUAAAGGUCUCUUCAAUUCUAAAAAUGGCUUACUCUCAUUUCAGCGAACGAUGAAGAUGCUUAUGAUUACAGCAAUGAUCUUCACCCAAUCGCUAGUUCUUUGCCCCGCACUUGUGUAGGAUGAUUACACAACCCUCUUGAGGGGGAUGAGCCUGGGUGGCUUUUUCUGGAAGACUUGGGAAUUAGGAGUGGGAAUGUUUUUUCGAGUUAUUUCAAUGGAAAUGAAAACUUGGGAUUUCAAUUUA